UUUCAACUACUAUAAUUAGUAGAUCUUACUUCCAAUAAGAAAGUCCCCAUAGGGGUUGAAAA
rnacentral:tRNA from 1 species